ACCGUUAAAAGAAGAGCACAAACUUCUAGAACGGAAUAGAAUCUGGCAAAGCGACCAUUUUCUUACCGCCCCGGUUGGAGCCAUCGCCAUAAUAUCUGCGUGAUGAUUCCGCUACUAGAACUCGGAGAAGGCUGUUGACACAUCCACAAUAUUCCAUGGAAGCCAAUAUUAUUAAUAAUAAUAAAUACACUUUCUCUCUAUACAAGAAAAUAAUAAUUGCCACCACUUUUACACAAAAAAACCUCCAAUUUUUUAUGUUAAGAAUAAAUAUCACCACGUAAAUCUUAUCUACACAAUGGUAUUUAGGCACGGACUUAUCCUUGCUUGCUCUCUCCUGUAGGAAGCAACUGAAGCAAUCGGCAGGGGUAUGUUCUUUGCAAAAUUAGUUUCCUGCUGCUUCCUCCAUGGCUUCCAUGGAUAUAUUUUAUGGUACUUGAGAUCAGACUUCCAGACAGUUCCAGGAACUUCUUUCCAUUUCCACCUGAAAAUUGUCUGCCAAGGCGGUCGAUAUUUCAAAACAAGCUUCCAGAACGCGUCGAUGCAAACCAAGAUGCAUCCAUCGAACCUUGUCCGACCUUGAAGAGCUUCUGUUCAUACAUGCAUCGGAGUAAAUUACGCCAUGGAUGGAUCACAACUCAUGAUAUCAAGUUAGCUGCACAGUCUCUUGAGCCCUCUGGCUUGACAGCCUUCCGCCGCCGAAAGCAUCUCAAUCCUCCGCCUGGUGCCAAAUUACCUAAAAAUAUCAAAAAUUGAUAUCCAGAAAGGACCAAUUGUCAACUUGGAUUGAAAUUAGAUUUCAAGGUAUAAAAUGACACACCUACGACAACUCUAAGGUUUUUCUAUAAAUCAAAGAGUGAGAUUUGAGAGAAGACUUCAUAGAGUUUCUUUGAACAUUAGAUUUGAGCAAUUUUAGUUUGUAAUGACUUUGUAAGAGCUUUGCAAAAUUGAGGUUGUUUUCUAUGAAUCUAGUUUUGUAAAAAAAAAAAAAAAAAAAAAAAAAAA